rnacentral:rRNA from 1 species
AACGAACGCUGGCGGCAGGCCUAACACAUGCAAGUCGAGCGAGGACUUCGGUCCUAGCGGCGGACGGGUGAGUAACGCGUGGGAACGUGCCCUUUGCUUCGGAAUAGCCCUGGGAAACUGGGAGUAAUACCGGAUGAGCCCUUUGGGGGAAAGAUUUAUCGGCGAAGGAUCGGCCCGCGUUGGCUUAGGUAGUUGGUGGGGUAAUGGCCUACCAAGCCGACGAUCCAUAGCUGGUUUGAGAGGAUGAUCAGCCACACUGGGACUGAGACACGGCCCAGACUCCUACGGGAGGCAGCAGUGGGGAAUCUUAGACAAUGGGGGAAACCCUGAUCUAGCCAUGCCGCGUGAGCGAUGAAGGCCUUAGGGUUGUAAAGCUCUUUCAGCUGGGAAGAUAAUGACGGUACCAGCAGAAGAAGCCCCGGCUAACUCCGUG